UACGGAAGGCAGCAGUGGGGAAUAUUGCACAAUGGGCGCAAGCCUGAUGCAGCCAUGCCGCGUGUAUGAAGAAGGCCUUCGGGUUGUAAAGUACUUUCAGCGGGGAGGAAGGCGAUGUGGUUAAUAACCGCGUCGAUUGACGUUACCCGCAGAAGAAGCACCGGCUAACUCCGUGCCAGCAGCCGCGGUAAUACGGAGGGUGCAAGCGUUAAUCGGAAUUACUGGGCGUAAAGCGCACGCAGGCGGUCUGUUAAGUCAGAUGUGAAAUCCCCGGGCUUAACCUGGGAACUGCAUUUUGAAACUGGCAGGCUUGAGUCUCGUAGAGGGGGUAGAAUUCCAGGUGUAGCGGUGAAAUGCGUAGAGAUCUGGAGGAAUACCGGUGGCGAAGGCGGCCCCUGGGACGAGACUGACGCUCAGGUGCGAAAGCGUGGGGAGCAAACGAGGAUUAGGAUACC
rnacentral:rRNA from 1 species